AUUUUUUUUAGCUUAAUUUAGAGCAUCAGUUUGAAGGACUGGGGGUACCAUUUGGUAAAAAGAUA
rnacentral:tRNA from 1 species